rnacentral:rRNA from 1 species
CCUUCAUGAAGCUGGAAUUGCUAGUAAUGGCAGGUCAGCAUACUGCCGUGAAUACGUUCCCGGGCCCUUGUACACACCGCCCGUCACACCAUGAGAGUUGGGAAUACCCGAAGCCUGUGAGCUAACUUAUAGAGGCAGCAGUCGAAGGUAGAAUCAAUGAUUGGGGUGAAGUCGUAACAAGGUAUC